GCGCACAAAUCCUUCCUCCUUUUCUCUCUCUCUCAUAUUUAAAGGCCGCAGAAGGCAGAACUAAAUUCAAGAAGCAGAGAAAGCAGCAAAGGGAGACGCAUCCACAGCAAAACUCUUUUAACUUUAACUCGUGUGAGUCACGAGACUCACUGAAACUCACAAGAAAAACAAUAGAUUGAUCAAAAAAGGCAAGAGAAUUAAUGGAGAAGAGCAGCAGUAGCACAGGAAAGGUAGAGAAAAGGGAAGAAAAUGGACAGGUUCUAGAUGGUUCGGAUAUAAUGGAGUUGGUUGAGAACGAGGAGGUGUUUAGCAGUUUCGUGGAUCAUAAGUUCCAGGAGCUG
rnacentral:misc_RNA from 1 species